GAUGAACGCUAGCGGCAGGCUUAACACAUGCAAGUCGAGGGGUAUAGUUCUUCGGAGCUAGAGACCGGCGCACGGGUGCGUAACGCGUAUGCAAUCUACCUUUUGCAGAGGGAUAGCCCAGAGAAAUUUGGAUUAAUACCUCAUAGUAUGUGAGAAUGGCAUCAUUUUCACAUUAAAGUCACAACGGCAAAAGAUGAGCAUGCGUCCCAUUAGCUUGUUGGUAAGGUAACGGCUUACCAAGGCAACGAUGGGUAGGGGUCCUGAGAGGGAGAUCCCCGACACUGGUACUGAGACACGGACCAGACUCCUACGGGAGGCAGCAGUGAGGAAUAUUGGACAGUGGGCGCAAGCCUGAUCCAGCCAUGCCGCGUGCAGGAUGACGGUCCUAUGGAUUGUAAACUGCUUUUGUACAGGAAGAAACACUGGUUCGUGAACCAGCUUGACGGUACUGUAAGAAUAAGGAUCGGCUAACUCCGUGCCAGCCGCCGCAGUAAGAC
rnacentral:rRNA from 1 species